rnacentral:rRNA from 1 species
UACGUAGGGCGCAAGCGUUGUCCGGAAUCAUUGGGCGUAAAGAGCUCGUAGGUGGUCUGUUACGUCUGCUGUGAAAUCCUAGGGCUUAACCCUGGGCCUGCAGUGGAUACGGGCAGACUAGAGGUAGGUAGGGGAGAAUGGAAUUCCCGGUGUAGCGGUGAAAUGCGCAGAUAUCAGGAGGAAUACCGAUGGCGAAGGCAGGUCUCUGGGCUGACACUGACGCUCAUGCACGAAAGCGUGGGGAGCAAACAGG